rnacentral:rRNA from 1 species
UACGUAGGCAGCAAGCGUUGUUCGGAAUUACUGGGCGUAAAGAGUGUGUAGGCGGUGCUCUAAGUCUGUUGUGAAAUCUCCCGGCUUAACCGGGAGGGUGCGGCGGAAACUGGAGUGCUUGAGUGUAAGAGAGGAAAGUGGAAUUCCACGUGUAGCGGUGAAAUGCGUAGAGAUGUGGAGGAACACCAGUGGCGAAGGCGACUUUCUGGCUUAUAACUGACGCUGAGGCGCGAAAGCGUGGGGAGCAAACAGG